UACGGGGGGAGCAAGCGUUGUUCGGAUUUACUGGGCGUAAAGGGCGCGUAGGCGGCGCCGCAAGUCGGUUGUGAAAUCUCUGGGCUUAACCCAGAAAGGUCAACCGAUACUGCGGGGCUAGAGUGCAGAAGGGGCAACUGGAAUUCUCGGUGUAGCGGUGAAAUGCGUAGAUAUCGGGAGGAACACCUGUGGCGAAGGCGGCCGCCUGGUUGGAUACUGACGCUGAGACGCGAAAGCGUGGGGAGCAAACAGG
rnacentral:rRNA from 1 species